rnacentral:rRNA from 1 species
CACUAUGCUUAGCCCUAAACAUUGAUAGUUUACCACAUCGAACAUCCGCCUGGGAAUUACGAACACUAGUUUAAAACCCAAAGGACUUGGCGGUGCUUAACAUCCACCUAGAGGAGCCUGUUCUAGAACCGAUAACCCCCGUUAAACCUCACCCUCCCUAGUUCUUACCGCCUAUAUACCACCGUCGCCAGCUUACCCUGUGAAGGCCUAAUAGUAAGCACAAUCGGCACAGCCCAAAACGUCAGGUCGAGGUGUAGUGCAUGAGAGGGGAAGAAAUGGGCUACAUUCGCUGCCUGCCAGCGAACACGAAUGUUGUAUUGAAACAUACAACUGAAGGAGGAUUUAGCAGUAAGCAGAAAAUAGAGCGUUCCGCUGAAACCGGCUCUUAAGCGCGCACACACCGCCCGUCACCCUCCCCAAGCACCUGGACCCAAAUUUUCUUAAACCUACACAAACGCGAAGGAGAGGAAAGUCGUAA